UCCCCCCUUUUUGUUUUAUCGAUGUAUGAAAUCAUUUUGUAUAUGUGAAAAUAUUUUUGGAGA
rnacentral:sRNA from 1 species